CCUACGGGAGGCAGCAGUGAGGAAUAUUGGUCAAUGGACGAGAGUCUGAACCAGCCAAGUAGCGUGAAGGAUGACUGCCCUAUGGGUUGUAAACUUCUUUUAUAUAGGAAUAAAACGAGCCACGUGUGGCUUUUUGUAUGUACCUUAUGAAUAAGGAUCGGCUAACUCCGUGCCAGCAGCCGCGGUAAUACGGAGGAUCCGAGCGUUAUCCGGAUUUAUUGGGUUUAAAGGGAGCGUAGAUGGGUUGUUAAGUCAGUUGUGAAAGUUUGCGGCUCAACCGUAAAAUUGCAGUUGAUACUGGCAGUCUUGAGUGCAGUAGAGGUAGGCGGAAUUCGUGGUGUAGCGGUGAAAUGCGUAGAUAUCACGAAGAACUCCGAUUGCGAAGGCAGUUCACUGGACUGCAACUGACACUGAGGCUCGAAAGUGUGGGUAUCAAACAGGAUUAGAUACCCGUGUAGUC
rnacentral:rRNA from 1 species